UCCUCGUUCAACCAGCACAUCCCUUUGUCGUGCCGCUCUCACCACCCCCCCUUUGCACACAGACGUCGCAUAUGCGCAAGACGCGACAUCUGUGCAGGCUGGGGCAGCGCACGGGGGAGGUGCGUGUGGAGCGACAAAGGGAUGCGCCGGUUGAACGAGGAUGUGAGGGGUGCCCACCCAAGGAUGCAAGCGUGACAUUGAUGCAAUUAUGGAUUCUGAAAACAACAGUUGUGUGUAAAGCUUUGUGGUGUGUUAAGAAGGAAAAUUCCCAUAAAAGAUGCUUAGCUGAAAUGUAAACGGCUGUGAAAUGCCAUUCUGCACUGUGUGUCUGAAUUUAAAAUUGUUUUGAUCAAGGAGGAAAUCUAUCAAAGCUGAAGGUCUGGGGCAUGAGCACCCAAACCCAUCACUUCAAAGGACCGAGAGUCAGCCCUGUGAGGCAUCAGAGUCAGUCAGGAAGUGGCAAAGAUAAAGGGAUAAACUCCGGCAAAGUCUGCAUGCUGCCAGGUAAAGAAUUGCAUGCAGAUUGUAUCUCUGAAAUAUUAGAGGAAGACCUGAUAUCCUACAUGCACAAAUGUGUGUCCCUUUUCAGGAAGAGGAGGAAAGUUCCUUUUGUUGAUAUGAAAUAUGUACCAGACCUUAUCAAAAUAGCAAGGAGCACCCUAGUCCCUGAGGACCAAGACAAACAAGAGACCAAUGAGAGACUGUUGUGUUUUUUUGCCACGAAAAGAAA